ACAUCCCUCUAGAGGAGCCUGUUCUGUAAUCGAUAAACCCCGAUAAACCUCACCAACCCUUGCUAAUGCAGCCUAUAUACCGCCAUCUUCAGCAAACCCUUAAAAGGAACCACAGUAAGCAAAACCAUGAGACAUAAAAACGUUAGGUCAAGGUGUAGCCCAUGGGUUGGAAAGAAAUGGGCUACAUUUUCUAAUAUAGAAUAUAUACGGAAAUUUUCGGGCAACCGAAAUUAGAAGGAGGAUUUAGUAGUAAAUUAAGAAUAGAGAGCUUAAUUGAAUAAGGCCAUGAAGCAC
rnacentral:rRNA from 1 species